UACGUAGGGAGCAAGCGUUGUCCGGAAUCAUUGGGCGUAAAGCGCGCGUAGGUGGCUUCGUAAGUCCGUUGUGAAAGUCAAAGGCUCAACCUUUGAAAGCCGAUGGAUACUGUGAAGCUAGAGUACGGAAGAGGCGAGUGGAAUUCCUGGUGUAGCGGUUGAAUGCGCAGAUAUCAGGAGGAACACCAAUAGCGAAGGCAGCUCGCUGGGACGUUACUGACACUGAGGCGCGAAAGCGUGGGGAGCGAACAGG
rnacentral:rRNA from 1 species